rnacentral:rRNA from 1 species
AGUGAACGCUGGCGGUAGGCCUAACACAUGCAAGUCGAACGGCAGCACAGUAAGAGCUUGCUCUUACGGGUGGCGAGUGGCGGACGGGUGAGGAAUACAUCGGAAUCUACUUUUUCGUGGGGGAUAACGUAGGGAAACUUACGCUAAUACCGCAUACGACCUACGGCAGAAAGCAGGGGAUCUUCGGACCUUGCGCGAUUGAAUGAGCCGAGGCCGGAUUAGCUAGUUGGCGGGGUAAAGGCACACCAAGGCGACGAUCCGUAGCCGAUCUGAGAGGAUGAUCGGCCACACUGGAACUGAGACACGGUCCAGACUCCUACGGGAGGCAGCAGUAGGGAAUCUUGCGCAAUGGGCGAAAGCCUGACGGAGCAACGCCGCGUGAGUGAAGAAGGUCUUCGGAUCGUAAAACUCUGUUAUUAGGGAAGAACAAAUGUGUAAGUAACUAUGCACGUCUUGACGGUACCUAAUCAGAAAGCCACGGCUAACUACGUG